UACGUAGGUGGCAAGCGUUGUCCGGAAUUAUUGGGCGUAAAGCGCGCGCAGGCGGCCUCUUGAGUCUGAUGUGAAAGCCCCCGGCUCAACCGGGGAGGGCCAUUGGAAACUGGGAGGCUUGAGUAUAGGAGAGAAGAGUGGAAUUCCACGUGUAGCGGUGAAAUGCGUAGAGAUGUGGAGGAACACCAGUGGCGAAGGCGACUCUUUGGCCUAUAACUGACGCUGAGGCGCGAAAAGCGUGGGGAGCAACAGG
rnacentral:rRNA from 1 species